CGUCCAGUAUGAUCAGUAUUGUCUUCACCUUGUCUUUCUCACUUCAGUGCGUUACAGUUUUAGCAGGAGAAAAUGGUGUCACACAAAGCCGCAGUGUCCUGUGGGCUCUGAAGGGGAAUUCUGCUGAAAUUAACUGCAGCCAUAAUAAAGGUCUGUCCUACUAUGGAAUGUACUGGUACCGACAGCACCAAGGAAAAGCUAUGGAGGUCAUAGUUUACACAUCUACCAUCAGUGCACCAGACUUUGGCUCCUUUGAUGAAAGAAAAUUCUCUGCUAUUAAAGAAGUUGCUGAGAAUGGAUCUUUCACUGUGAAGAAUCUGGAUUCAGAUGACAGUGCUCUGUAUUUCUGUGCAGUGAGUGAACACAGUGUCAUAUACCUGUUGAACUGCUGA